rnacentral:rRNA from 1 species
UGCAAGUCGAACGGUAACAGGGAGCUUGCUCCGCUGACGAGUGGCGAACGGGUGAGUAAUAUAUCGGAACGUACCCAAGAGUGGGGGAUAACGUAGCGAAAGUUACGCUAAUACCGCAUACGAUCUAUGGAUGAAAGCAGGGGACCUUCGGGCCUUGUGCUCCUGGAGCGGCCGAUAUCUGAUUAGCUAGUUGGUGAGGUAAAGGCUCACCAAGGCGACGAUCAGUAGCUGGUCUGAGAGGACGACCAGCCACACUGGAACUGAGACACGGUCCAGACUCCUACGGGAGGCAGCAGUGGGGAAUUUUGGACAAUGGGCGCAAGCCUGAUCCAGCAAUGCCGCGUGAGUGAAGAAGGCCUUCGGGUUGUAAAGCUCUUUUGUCAGGGAAGAAACGGUAGGGGCUAAUAUCCUUUGCUAAUGACGGUACCUGAAGAAUAAGCACCGGCUAACUACGUGCCAGCAGCCGCGGUAAUACGUAGGGUGCAAGCGUUAAUCGGAAUUACUGGGCGUAAAGCGUGCGCAGGCGGUUUUGUAAGUCUGUCGUGAAAUCCCCGGGCUCAACCUGGGAAUUGCGAUGGAGACUGCAAGGCUAGAAUCUGGCAGAGGGGGGUAGAAUUCCACGUGUAGCAGUGAAAUGCGUAGAGAUGUGGAGGAACACCGAUGGCGAAGGCAGCCCCCUGGGUCAAGAUUGACGCUCAUGCACGAAAGCGUGGGGAGCAAACAGGAUUAGAUACCCUGGUAGUCCACGCCCUAAACGAUGUCUACUAGUUGUCGGGUUUUAAUUAACUUGGUAACGCAGCUAACGCGUGAAGUAGACCGCCUGGGGAGUACGGUCGCAAGAUUAAAACUCAAAGGAAUUGAC